UGCUUAUCUGCUUAAUUCCAGGAAAUAGCUGCAUUUAAAAAGAAAAACAACAACAACAACAACAGAAAACCAGCUUUGACAGAGAACUGGUGUAGAAUGGACACAUCAGAUAAGUCAGUGUUUGUCAAAUGUAUAAGCAACAGAAGAAAAUAGUCUUAAAAUAUAAAUAAUGGCUAGCUUAAAAAAUAGCUGCUUUUCUCAGCCUUGCUCAGAACCUCUUGGUUGUACUCCCCUACCUACUCCAUGAGCAUUGUGAUAGAAGGUUAGUGAAUGAAGGGAUGCAGUUUUUACUUGAUGUUUGUCUCCCUUUCCUGGAAAUAUGUAACUCUUUAGAAGUACAUUUGUGUUGGGUGUUUGAGUAUGAUACUCAGACAAAUCUGUUCCACUUGUAUCUUCUUUUUCCAUAGUAUUUUCCCUACCUGUUACCUCGACAGGGGUUCCUACAGAGGAAAGAGCUACCUGGAUAAAUGUAAAGGAGAUAAAAUCUCAACUUAGAAGAGCCAGAACCAAGACAGCCUACUUGUGCAGAAUGUCGUUCUAGAUGGAAGAGGAAGUUUGAUCUGCUGUGGUCCAGAGGCGCUGUUCUUCCUUAGAAAUUUGGGACAUUGUUGAAAAUACUGGAUGCUUUAGAAGUGGAUGUGGACAUCCUGUUGUUGGAGGGAAUGGCUUCUGUUUACUGCAGCUUGCAACUUUCGAAUUUGGUACAAAAUAAACUGCAAAAAAUCGAUUUGAAGUGCAUAUGUUAGUAGAACCAAGUAUGAACAAUGGUAUAAUUCUACCAUCUAGUUAAGUGUCUGGCAAUGCAGAAGCUGCUGUUUAUGAGCUGUGUUACUAUCUUCAUUUGAGGCCUGUUUGGUGUGUGCUGUGAAGCUUCUGUCUGUAUCUAAGCAAGAAAAGCUUCGUUUCUGUAGGAGGGCACAAGUGACCACAGUUGCCUGGAAGAUUUUUGCUGCUUGUCUUCUGUGGACUAUCAGUACUUAAGUCAUCCCAAAUCAGGGUACAAGCUCUGAGAGCUUGGAGCCUCUUACGAUGGACUUGUUGUAGAAUGGUCCGUGGAGGAAGU